rnacentral:rRNA from 1 species
UACGUAGGAGGCGAGCGUUGUCCGGAGUUACUGGGCGUAAAGCGCACGCAGGCGGUCUUGUGAGUCUCAGGUGACAGUCCCCGGCUUAACUGGGGAAGUGUCUGGGAAACUGCAAGACUUGAGGGCUUCAGAGGGACAUGGAAUUCCAGGUGGAGUGGUGAAAUGCGUAGAUAUCGGAAGGAACACCAGUGGCGAAAGCGGCUUCCUGGUCCAGCACCGACGUUCAGGCACGAAAGCGUGGGGAGCAAACAGG